UACGGAGGAUCCAAGCGUUAUCCGGAAUUACUGGGCGUAAAGAGUUGCGUAGGUGGCAUAGUAAGUAGGUAGUGAAAGCGUUCGGCUCAACCGGAUACACAUUACCUAAACUGCUAAGCUCGAGGAUGAGAGAGGUUAUUGGAAUUCCCUGUGUAGGAGUGAAAUCCGUAGAUAUAGGGAGAAACACCGAUGGCGUAGGCAGAUAACUGGCUCAUUCCUGACACUAAGGCACGAAAGCGUGGGGAGCAAACGGG
rnacentral:rRNA from 1 species